rnacentral:tRNA from 1 species
ACUAUUUUGGCAGAUUAGUGCAAUAAAUUUAGAAUUUAUUUAUGUAAAAUUUUUACAAAUAGUA